UACGUAGGGUGCAAGCGUUGUCCGGAAUUAUUGGGCGUAAAGAGCUCGUAGGCGGUCUGUCGCGUCGGCUGUGAAAUCUCGGGGCUCAACCCCGAGCCUGCAGUCGAUACGGGCAGACUAGAGUGCUGUAGGGGAGACUGGAAUUCCUGGUGUAGCGGUGAAAUGCGCAGAUAUCAGGAGGAACACCGGUGGCGAAGGCGGGUCUCUGGGCAGUAACUGACGCUGAGGCGCGAAAGCGUGGGGAGCAAACAGG
rnacentral:rRNA from 1 species